CCUACGGGUGGCAGCAGUCGGGAAUCUUGCUCAAUGGGGGAAACCCUGAUGCAGCAACGCCGCGUGGGGGAUGGAGGUUUUCGGAUUGUUAACUCCUUUUGUUAGAGAAGAUAAUGAAGGUAACUAACGAAUAAGCACCGGCUAACUCCGUGCCAGCAGCCGCGGUAAUACGGAGGGUGCAAGCGUUACUCGGAAUCACUGGGCGUAAAGAGCGCGUAGGCGGGAUAGCAAGUCAGAUGUGAAAGCCUAGGGCUUAACCAUAGAACGGCAUUUGAAACUGUUAGUCUAGAGUAUGGGAGAGGUAGGUGGAAUUCUUGGUGUAGGAGUAAAAUCCGUAGAGAUCGAGAGGAAUACUCAUGGCGAAGGCGAGCUGCUAGAACAUAACUGACGCUGAGGCGCGAAGGCGAGGGGAGCAAACAGGAUUAGAUACCCCAGUAGUC
rnacentral:rRNA from 1 species